AUCAUAAAAAAAUUAGUCUACAUAUAUAGUAAAUUUGGAUAGAUCCUGAGAAUCACCUUUAGAACGUGAUUGCAAGUUGGAAUUACUCUAAUUUGACAGCCCUGAUGGUCAACAAGUCUUUUGGCACUCCAGUGCUCACAUACUGAGCGAAGCAAUGGAACGUGUCUACGGAGGUUGUCUCUGCAUCUUGGAGAUAAGAAAAUUUCAACCCUGAACUUCCCUUUUCUUGAAUCUUUGUAGAAGGACAUUGUAAAGGAAAAGGCAACCAUUUGAGCGUCUGGAAAUGACUAAAGAAGAUUUUUUGAAGAUGUUUGAGUACAACGAGUUCAAAGUGAGAAUACUGAAAGAAAAAGUUCAAACUCCAACUACUACAGUCUACAGAUGUGGGCCGUUGAUUGAUUUGUUUCGUGGUCCUCAUCAGACACACGGGUAUGCUCGGGGCAUUGUCCCCAGGUGCGAUGCAUCCAGCAUUCGCGACUCGAAUGGGAUUCCCUGGUGGGCCAAUGCUAACGCCGAUGAUGCAUCCACGCUUCAGAUGAUCACCUCAAGCUAACGGGCCUAAUCUAUCACUGCAUUUUGUGCUUUAAGCCCAGCCCUGACUUGGUCUCAAGUGAAAAAUUUACUGACUCAAAUCAAUAAUAUAAUUAUAUGUAAUAUAAUUACUAUGCAAGAGCCGUUGGUUUAAAUUUUCAAAAAACCGAAAAACGACUGUCAUGUGCAAAGUCAAAAUAUCAACGCUACUGAUCCUCAGUUAACACGAACUGUAGGAAGACAUGCCACUAAAAUGAAUUUGAGAAGUGAAUUAAUUGAAUGGCUGAAGAAAAAUCGAGAUGCUGAUACCCUUCGUUUUACAAAUUUUAUCUCUCAGCCUGAAGUUCAUAAAGAUUUGCAUCUAUAUAUUGAAGCUUUAAAAAAAAAAAUUAAUUUUUAUCUUAAUCGAGUGUUACGAUUUUGAAUAAUAUAAUUUAUUUUUGAAAAGUAAAAUUUUUAAGAUAACGAAAAUUAACAAA